AUGAUUUGGGAGACUGAUGUUGAUACUUGUAUGCCUCUAUUUUCAAAGGGCCUUGCAGGACUGGAUGGCAAAGCAGGACAGAAGGGAGAUCCAGGAGUAGACGGGGCCAAAGGCGAAAAGGGUGAACCAUGUUCUGGCUGCCCUAGCAUUGGAGAAAUUCCAGCAGGCAUUUUGAAUCUGGCUCAGAAGGGAGAGAAAGGAGAUCCAGGUGCUGGACAGAAAGGAGAGCAGGUGAAUGUAAUGGAGUGA
ensembl:lncRNA